CCCACUGUGACGCCUUAUUCCCUCGACGCCAUUUGACGUGCGACUUCCGCCUGUGUAUUCGAAGUAGGACGGACCAGGCGGAUUAAUAUUUUGAAAUUAGCAGCAGUCUUUGUGCUCGCUAACGGAAUCGGAAUUAAUGGAUGGAAACACAACUUUUCCUGCAAAUACUUCGACGGUUCCUGGAGCGACUGUGCUGUACAGCUCUCGUCUGAUGAAGAGAUCACCAUUACUUUUUCCAAUCACUCCAGACACUGCCAAUACCUGCAGCCAGCAGGUAGAAGUCCAAUCGUCAUGAGAAAUUCCAGUCCUGGGGUGGCAGCAGGCCACAGAUGGUGAUGAAUACUGGAUGGAGUGGCGGUGCUGCGUCAUGGAGGCCAGCUGGAUGAGCCCUGGACUCUGGACUACAUUUGACCCGCCUUUGACAACUAACCCAAGCUCUACUGUACUGGGACGGGUCACCUCCUGUCACACUGCAGAAGCCCAGAAACAAAGCUGCCAGUUUUGUCUCCUCGCUCAACAAGAGGAAAAAAAACACAAAGAUGAGUCACCAUCUGCUGGGACGAGGAUAAUCACUAUGCAUUGUUGUGUGGGGGCAUGAAUGAGUGAGGAGCCAGAGUCUGAGUCAGAGAAGUUCAGUGAGUCUCAUGAUCAAUUAGAACACACUGAGAAGAGAAGGGGGCGGAGUCAAGGUGGCCGUGACGUCUUUCUCCCUGAGGGUUACCAUGUCGACGGCGGGUGCGGUCAGGAAAGUCAAGAGAGAAGGAGGGGAAGGAUCACCCGCAUCAUGUCAUCUUGCAUGAUGCCCCUGAGUGUGAUGUAAGCCGUCUGCAUCGCGUCUAUGUAUUCACCCUGCUGAUGACAUUAGCACGCCUAGAUCGUAUCACCCCCAGCCAUCCUUGGGGGGAAAACAAAUAUAAACCCCUGCUGCGCUGGUCGAGAGGACUUGUCAGCCUACGCGUAGUUCAGGUUCAAACAUGUACACAGGGAGAACGGACAGAAUUUCACAUGCACACAGGCAUAUGAGCAAACGCCUCUAUUUCCAGUCAGUCAGGUUGUCAGAGUGCAGUCGGGACGAGAGAUUAGCAGCUGUCAUGGCUGAAAACACAAGGUCUGCAGCAGCAUGGCUAAAUACUAGCAUGCAGGAAUCCAGGCAACCACCCGCUGGCCUCCCUGACCCCUAACACACACACACACACACACACACACACACACACACGCAGAGGCCUCUUUCCCACCUGCUGAUAGUGACUGUUUGUGUCACCUCAGGGGCCCUGGACCUGGUUCUCCAUUUUACUCACAUCUCAGGUCAUUAGGCUUGUCAAUGACAAGCUACAUGCAGACACACACACAGCUGAAAAACAAAACUGAAAGAUUCGGAAACAACUCAGUAGUGUCCUAGUUUUUACUCACACUUUGUAAAACCUGAUCCAUCAACUAAAGAGGCUGAGAUUCGAGAUGAGCUGCUGACGGCCCCGUGUUUGUACGUGUCUGUCUUCUGCACUUUUAAAAUAAUGACAAGAUCAUUUGAUAUCAAAAAUGCUGUUUGCACUGUUGAAAGAAAUUUUUUACACAAUGUCCAUAGAAUUAUAUAAAAUGAAAAUGAAAAUAUGUAAAAAAAAAAAUGGAAAUUGGUACAAAAAUAUAUUUUUUUGAAAUGAUCAAACUCUUUGUGUGUUUGCUUGCUUAUAGAUACACAGGCCAACGGAUGAAGAUGAGGUGUAAGAACCGUCAUAUUGGACUGAUCAUGUCUAUAUGUAUAUAUGUAACCACAUAUUUGUCACAGAUCCACACUAUAGUCUAAUUCAGAGCUAACAGCGGCUCCUGAAGUGUCACUUGCGUUGAACUGAUUUCUCCGUAAAUGUGAUAUUUAAUCUGCUCCGUCCCGCUCCCGUGCUGUCGGGCUGGAACGACCGCGGAGGAGGCUGAGGCAAGCCCUCCACCGCCGGAGGAAAACCGCACAAGGCAAACACACGUUCUCUUCCCUCUCGCACAAAAACGCGCCACCAAAACCAACAAAAAUAGCCGUUCAAAAGUCAUAUGCCUCGAAAAGCAAACACACGCACGCACACGCUGGUCCAAAAUAAUAGGCAGUAGCAAGGCAAAUAGCAAUUUAUCCGACCUUAACCCGUACCGUAUGUCUCCUGAGCUACAGAGUCAGAAACAUCUCUCGAGGAAAGAACGGGCUCUACAGCGGUUCUUUGGUUUUGCGAGUGGCUCUAUAUGGAGCUAUAAUAACCUUUCAUUUGUUUUCAAAAUAGGCAAUUCAAAAUAAAGAAAUGAUGUGUAACCUGUGUCCCUUUUCCAAAAUGGCUCUUUACGAUAGAGAACUUUAUUUUCUGCUGCUACAUAGAUCAAGGAGAAGAGCUACGGAGGGAAACACGACAGAGAGAGAACAUAGAGCCAUGUGUUCCCCCGACUGCUGAUGCUCUGAUAAUGACCGAAUGGAUGCGCUGUUGUUUUCACGGAGCGCUUGAACGCACGGUGACGUGAUUCAGCCAUGAGAGAGUUCAACUGGGUGAACCAGCAUGUGAUGCGCGGGGAUGGACUCAUUUCCCAACAAAAGGGGAACGGUCAAUCACUCUCCUGGUGUGACUUGUUACAAGGGCUCAGCUGAACGUGAGAAUAACGUGAACUCGAAUUGGGAUUUUAGAAAAUAGCUGCGAUUGAUCAUGUUUGUGUUUUUGAAGUGUGAACUUCAAGUGCAUCAAGCAGCACAAAUGAAAUUGCGUGGACUCCUGUUUGGUGAGUCCCUGGUGGACUUGGGGCAUUCAAAAAACCCUGAUCAUACACAGCUACAGCGUGUUUCGUGUGACCUUAAGGUCGUGCUUUGAAGUGGAUCUGCUCACGUGAUUUGCGCGACAGUCCUAUACUCUCAGUCAGGGGGGGGAUACAGAUCCGGAUCUGGCUUCAGGAAAAAAAAUUUGAAGGAUUCUUCAUAAUUGUGAGAUAGGGCAAAACUUGACAUUUUGACAAAUACAGUACAUAACAUUUUGAAAAUAUGUAGGUCAGACGGAGAUGGGAAUUUGGGAGGGAGAACAUGGGGGAUUGCUCAGCCUUUUUGUUCAUCCCCUACAGGACUUGUGAACAGACUUUGACCUGUAAAACCGCGCGUUAUCUCCUUGAAUUCAGACAAACCGUUUACUCGUUUAUUUCCUGUAUUUUGUGGGGCGCUGUAAACUGAUACUAUAGACACCUAGCACUUAAGCAAAAAAUUUGGCUUAUCUCCGUAUAAGACUGAGUUGCAUUGGGAAAUACGACGAAGUGCCAAUAUUUAAAAAGGGCGUGUAUGAUCGCCUCUGAGUCAGUAGAAAAAGUGACAUCUCUGUGAGCGGUGGUUUUAUAUCAUUAAAAUUGCCAGUGCAAGAAUAUCUGAUCAGACCUGAGUAGACACAAAGAAUGAUCUGAUUUCCCAGGCUGCUGUAACCUGAAUCUGUUAUCGCAAUCUUUCCGGUAUUUAUUCACAAGUGACUUCCCUCUGAGGUUGAACCUUCAGCUGCCGGGGGCCACGCACUCGCUCCCAACAGAGACCAAACACACUCCAGCUGAUAACAGUAUCAGGGGCCGAGGGCAGAUAUGACUUUGACCCCGCGACCCGCCGAGGUCUUGCGCUUGUGAGGUGAGGGAGGUGGGGCUGUGCGAGAGGUUAACACUGACGGGUGUACAGACAGUUCUACGACCCCUCCACACACACACACACACAAACACACACACACACACACACACACACACACACACACAAACAGGCACACAGGCGCACACAGACAUGGGUGAGUGUUUGACGCGACUGACAGAUGUUGCUGCCUGGUUCCAGCUGUUCCCUACCUGGCUCCUCAGGUGGGUUUGGCGGCAUUUAGCACUAAUGACACACACACACACACACACACUCGCACACUCAUUUGAACAGUCACUACCUCAGUUAUCACAUCAGCCAUGUGUGAAUCAUCAGAUUUAUGAGCAACGCACACACAAACACAGCAGUAUAUCGACUUGUGUGUGAGUGUGAAAGUGUUUGGGUGAGAGAGAGAAAGAGACGGGGAUGUGUUUACCAUUUCGAGGAAUGUACAGUAUUUGGUAAUGUGCAAAGCAGCCCUCAGUAGUCAGGAGUCGCACAAACACACUCUCUUUUAUUGGAUGGGCCUGAGAUUCCUCUGCGCACACCCAGGGCCUAGAACCAGGAAUUUAAACGCUUUAACAUGCUGUCUGACCAUCGGGGAUCUAAUACUGGUGUGUAGUACAACCAGUGUAUCACGGUUUUUGUUUGUUGGGCCUUAACAAAACUCACUCCCACUCACUAAGUCUAUGCAUUAGACUGUAGACUCUUUAAAACACUGUUCAAAUUGUGAGUAAAAUAUAAUCCUGGUAAUGUUUUGGUCUGCAAUCUGAUGUUACACUGUAAGAAAUGUCUGCGUGUGAUAAAACACAUCAUUUGAUUACCAGCAUCUCGCUCCAUGUCUCACAUCAGGUCCCACUGUUUACAGGACACACCGGUACUCCACGUGUAUUUUAACGUGUGCACAGUUUCUGUUUGCAAAGUAAAGGCUUAAGGUGUUGGUGAGUCAAUAACUACAAGGCCGGGUGUUUGCGCUUGUGUGUGUGUGUGUGUGUGUGUGUGUGUGUCUUGUCCUGCAGGUCUCAUUGAACCUGAUGGAGAAGCGGCAACGUGACCACCUGUGUCUCUUAUCGUGUAAUGUCCGUGCAAGUGAACGCAACGCGAGCGUAAUCUCUGGGUGAGGAUCUAGGUCAGUGUUGCAACCCGGGACUGGUCAGGGCAGGAGUGAAGUCGCGGCGCGAGGGCGAGCGAAACUAACCGAGCUGACCAAAUGCCUCAGGGAGAGAGAUUGAAGAGAGUUGAGUAGUUAUCAUGAGACAGUGUUUCCCCCGGCUGAAUGAUACCUGCUCUUUGUGAGGCUGCCACUGUUACAUUCGGUCUAAAGCUGCUCGUGGCAGAAGCCUACUUAUUGAUCCGAUGAUCACGUAACGAACAUUGUCCUUUCCAUUCCUGGAAAUCUCCAAGAUAAAGUAAAUGUUUUCCCCAGGAUCUGAUUGCUGUCGGGAGUAAAAAAGAGGGAACGUUUCACCAGCUCGACCACUCAAACUCUUCCUGCUCCUGUGUCGGAUAGACUGAACCAAAACAAUGAGCUCAACGAUUCUAAACUGCCCCAUAGAGCUGCGAAGAACUGCAGUCUGGAUACAGUUCUCUGUGAGUCAAUCACAGAGACGACGGACUCUUUCCCUAUAACUAAUAAUUUGAUCGAUUGCUCAGUGCAGCUUUACAGUAAAAGAAGAAGGAGCAACAUCAGUCAUGAGAACACGCUCACGGUGUACACCAGCACAGAGGAGACACUGGCCAUCUAGAAAAAUGAUGAUCUCCAUGUGUACGGCCUUCUGCUGUACACAACUCAAAGAAUAUAUAUAUAUAUAUAUAACUGACUCUACCUGGUUUAAGUUUAAGUCCAGCGGUGGAACUUUGUUCUUCUACUUCACCCAGCUCUGCAUGUCACCUCUUCAGCUCUACCUUAUUUCUCUCGCACAAAGUCUUCACACAUUUCGCCUCUUGGCCAUAGUUGGAAAGACUUUUACAAGAGUUCAAAAAAAAACACCCCAAAAAAAACAUCAGUAAAUUUCAACCACAGAGUUUGAAACAACUUCCAUGAAUAUGAAUUCACAUGCCAAGAUGUUUGAGAAGGAUUUAAUGCAGAGGCCAAAGAGUGGCUAAACACUCUGACCCGUAAUGAAUGACUACACACACGUCUCUGGGAACGAAGAAAAGAAAACACCUUCUCAUUUCAUAAACAGCCCAUCUAAUGAUACUCUAAUAAACAGCAGCAGUGGAAAGAAGGGGAUUCAAACUGGAAGUCCAGGCCUCCUCCACAGUGGUGGGAAGCAGCAAGAACGUGCCGCUGCAUAAACACACAGCGACACGUUUGCCACUUUAUCAACGGACAGAUCUCAGACCUUUCAUUUCCUCUGGAGAGCGGCGCUCCGCGGGGAUUUCUUUGUGGAUAUGAGGCACGAAGGGCAUGCGCGCUCCCCCCUCAAUAUUAUUUCAGCGAUGUAUCCUGGUGGAUGUCUCCAGCUGGAAAUGACCGAUCGCUAUACUCCCCCGGCCCGAAUGGUUAUUGUUCAUAACCGCUGAACAACCGCAACCAGGCAGGGCCUAUCAAACCUUGGUUCUCUUCCACAUGGUGAAGUAACACAUAUUGAGCCAUAUUCGCCAUUCCAUAUUUUUAGCCUUUAGAAGCUGGUGCCUUCGUACGUGAGAGCAAGAGUAUCAAUGAUAAACUGUGGGUUUUAUCUUCUCUGAUUAAAGUCUGCUAACAACAGCUGUAAUUUCAGAACUAACCGCAGCCAACUAGAAGUACGACCGUGUGCUGAUGGAGGGUCAGCGGAAGAAGAGGAAAUGACCCCUUACGCUUAAAGUGCAUCGCUUACAUUGUAAAAUGCGAUCACAUAACUGCGGGAGGAAAACCGUUAUCAUUGUUCCCCUCAUCAGGUCGUUCUGAUUAGACGCGUGUGACUAUGUGCAGGCCUAACUUUCGGUAAAUGGGGUUAAGGAGUUUCCAAAACAGUCUCUCGCAAAUGAAUGUUGCAUAAGGUCUGGCACUGGUUAAAUAACUGAUGAAUAGUACUAUAGUGACACACAAACACACAGGGAAUGAGAGGCAGAUUGUGAUUUAGGUCAAGCAGUCUAAAUGCUCCGGGCCUGAUGACUCACUAUCUGUCAUUAUGUUCAUAAUUGCCGUCGGUUAGCGUUACGACAUGUAACAUUCGUCGCUCCCUCAUUGUGCUCGAGACUCCAGGUGGUGCGGGUUUCUGGUUUAUGACAUGAAUUCAAUCUUCAGAACUUUUUCAGACGGCGUUGACAGAAUUCCCAGUGGGAAUGAGAAUGUUUCCUGCAAAGUUGAGCAUCUGAAAUUAAGAUGGUGUUCUGUGUCAAUAAGCACAACUUGUGAAUGUACCAAUAAAUCCCCGAAAUUAAAAACAAAACAAAAUACAAUGUCUUUUGUUUCAUGACACAUUUUUUCCGUAUUAGCAACAUCCACUUUCCUGUUUUGUUUGGACUCGGGGUGAUUUGAGGCCAUUCUGGCGGUGUGUUUAUAAGGUGACUCAGUGUUUUAAAUAGGAGAGUAUUUAGGUUUGCUCCACAAGCUUCAGUAACAACAGAGGUAUGUGUGUGCUUGUGUUCGCGGGUCACAGUGUGCGUCCAACCCAAACAAACUCAACCAUGAAUGUGUGCAUGGGCUGGUUCUGAAUCAUCUUUUGGAUACCACUGUCUUUAUUAUUAGAGUAAAACGUACCAUUGAGAAAUCCAGAGUGUUGCCGGGUAAACUUCACGGGACACAGCCACCGGCAUCUGCCGUUCAUCUUGGAGAAGAGGCUGCAUGGGGAUGGUGCCCACCAGAGAAAAACGAACCCCCUGAAUGCCUGCAC